GACUAGGGUUUUGAAAGGAGGAAGAAGAUGAGUAGUGUUUUGUUUAUAUAGGGGAGGGGCACAGGCCUAGGGCCACGCCCGUGUGCUGUGAGGGUAGCCCGUGUUUUUCAAAUUUUUUCAAAUGUGGUCGUGCCCGGCUACUAUCAAAUGCCAGUUUGUCUUGGGCAUGUGUGGCACACAGACAUGUCGCACAGUCGUGCCUCGCGUUGUUCGCUUCUCCCGCGCCCAUGUGGUAUGGUAACACACCCGUGUAUUGUUGUACACGACUGAAUGGCACAGGCGUUUCGCAUUCCCGUGUCAAAGAAACAGAAUCGAGCCUUGUCCCUGGCACGCCCAUGGUUUUCUAUCCCACGCCCG
rnacentral:lncRNA from 1 species